UACGGGGGGGGCAAGCGUUGUUCGGAAUUACUGGGCGUAAAGGGCUCGUAGGCGGCCAACUAAGUCAGACGUGAAAUCCCUCGGCUUAACCGGGGAACUGCGUCUGAUACUGGAUGGCUUGAGUGUAGGAGAGGGAUGCGGAAUUCCAGGUGUAGCGGUGAAAUGCGUAGAUAUCGAGAGGAACACCUGCGGCGAAGGCGGGUUGCUGGGCUGACACUGACGCUGAGGCGCGAAAGCCAGGGGAGCGAACGGG
rnacentral:rRNA from 1 species